AGAGAGCGUCCGUCGACUGGGGUUGUUGUGUACAGGAGGGCAAAAUGAGCCACGGCGAUCGGGUCUUUUCUAUGCAGACAGAAUUUGUCUGCAUAGAAAUUCCCUAACCCUAACCCAUGAAUAAAGUGUUUUGCACUUUAUUUAUGGGUUUAGAUUUCACUUCAUCUAAUUGAAAGAUGUUGUCGGUGAAGCACGGUGGGCUGAUGUGUUUUAUAGUAGCAUACCUUUAUGCUUUAAAAGUAUUAGGGGUGGCCUUGAGCCUUCAAUAUUUCAAAUCGUCCAAAUGACAAUAAAUUGAGAGGUUGUUUAAUGAGUGAUACUGCAACAUUGCUUGACUUCUAGAGGGAAAACUCAAUAAGUUAAGUCUUUUCUGUGGGCGUGGUGAAUUGACUCAGUCCUCUGGGUGCAAUUUGCUGUGUUAUGUUUUGCUUUCAAUAACACCCUCAUGUUUCUUUAUAAUCCCUUUGUGUAAUGGCAGUAGCACCAUCCAAUUGUUUUCUCUUUGAAGUAGUUGUUAGUCUAGAAUAAAAGUUAUCUAUAAUAGAUGCCAGCAUUUCGACUUACGGAAAUGAUUCCCCUUGUGGGUACUCUUUGGUAUUGCAUUUGUGUUCUGCCACAUCAAUUUUUUAGGACUAUGCUUGAAAAUGCUUCAUUCACAUGUAUUUCACAUUUCAUCAAUCGAAUGCUUCAACUUUGUCUUAAAAGAAGAAAUCUGGUACGCAUUCUUAAGUUGGCUGUUUUUUGCUGAUUCUACCAAAACGCUAUAAACUUGGAACGAUUGGGGCAUGUGUUAUGGUCAAAACUAAAUCGCUAUUUUAAACCACUUAAAAGGCUAGAAGAAGCCCGACCCUUCUUUGGUAGUAUACUAAGGGUGUACAGUGUAGAUUGUUUAUUAAAAAGGACAAUUUAUACACACAAUACCAUCAGUAGUUCACCCGUCGACGCCAUCUUGUCUUUAAGACUCGAUAAGUAGAUUGGCGAACACAGAACUUGCGUGUUGAUCAUGGAUGUCACAAGCUCUGUGUUCGCCAAUCUACCUAUCGAGUCUUAAAGACAAGAUGGCGUAGAUGGGUUAACUGCUGAUGGUAUUGUGUGUAUAAAAUGUCCUUAUUAAUAAACAAUCUGUACUGAACCCCUGAACCCUUAUUAUACUAUCACAGAAGUGUCGGGCUAUUUCUAGCCUUGUAAGUGGUUUAAAAUAUCGAUUUAGUUUUUACUGUAACACAUGCCCCCAUCGUUCCAAGUUUAUAGCGUUUUGGUAGAAUAGGUUUAAAAACAGCCAAAUUACGAAUGCGUCUACAUGCGCUUUUUUGCUACCAAACGAACUUUACCACUCAUUAUCAUACUAAACAUAUCCCAGAUCUAUUUUACACCAGAUUUCACCUUUAAACAACGAGGGUUGUGUCAUGAUCAGAUGAAUACCGUGCCUUAUAAGGCAGAACUGAGCUCUUCCUUUACAGAGAAACUGGCCACCGUUUGAUUUCAUAAUUGCCUAAUAUUAAUUGCAGUUUAUUACCUUAACUUAAUUAUACAGGGUUUCCAAGGGUCCUUAAAAAGUCGUAUAAAUCGAAUAAUCUGAAUUUUAGGCCUUAAGGCGACUCACCGGGCCGAAAAUCGGCGUCGGUGAGUCGUUCAGUCUUUUACCAUUCUGAUUGGUGGAGGGCUAGUAGCUUGACUAGCGAAUCAGCGAAGCCCGGAAGUGAGGAUGGUAAACAUACCAGACAAACAGUGUUAGCGAAGACGAUGUCGAAACUCUCUCAACGCAUUGUUUGGCAUCAAAUUGAACCAUGUGGACCAAAUACUUGCCAAACUUUUCACAUUUCAUUAUUCCCUGACCAAAAACUAUGCAGCAUUUUUCCAACAUCUAUGACGCUAGUGUGGUGACUUAGCAGUGAUGAUGCUACAUGAAGCAAUUAUGAUUUUUAUUGAUCUUUCUGAAUAAUCACAAUUGAAACCCAGGAAGUUAUCCUCUUUACACAGGGUCGAUCUGUCCUAUAUCUUGCCCCAUUGAAAAUGCACUGCACCAUGUUCAGACAUGAUAUGAGUAUGUAGCCCCUUGGCCUGUUCGCAGUUGGAUCGACAGCUUCACCCACUUUGUGCGUCUGACUUUUCUCCUUAUUUUUCGCUUAUGACUUUCUUCUUCCAAAAGAAAAAGCUGAAAAAAAAAAAAAUGAAAGAAAAGAGAGCUGACAAGGCCAGUAUCAACAUCA